UCUCUCCGUACGGGAAGGAUGAGAAGCUUCGACUAAGGUUCGAUUCGAGCGAAAGCGAGAAAGCGUUGCCGCAGGCAACGACCCGAAGGGCGAAGCGCGCAGCGCUGAGUCAUCCUUCCCCCACCACCA
rnacentral:sRNA from 2 species